UACGUAGGUGGCAAGCGUUGUCCGGAUUUACUGGGCGUAAAGAGCGCGCAGGCGGUUGGAUAAGGCGAAUGUGAAAGCCCCCGGCUCAACUGGGGAGGGUCAUUCGAUACUGUCCGACUCGAAGGCAGGAGAGGGAAGCGGAAUUCCCGGUGUAGUGGUGAAAUGCGUAGAUAUCGGGAGGAACACCAGUGGCGAAGGCGGCUUUCUGGCCUGUUCUUGACGCUGAGGCGCGAAAGCCAGGGGAGCAAACGGG
rnacentral:rRNA from 1 species